AUAUUUGCGCUUGGGGCAAUGACGGAGCUCACGAGGUUCUAACCUAGGCGCGCCUAUUGCUGGUUGAAAACUAUUUCCAAACCCCCUCUUAGGCCUGGGUUACCCCUGGCCUUCGAGAAUUUAUGGAAGAACUCUCUUCGGGGUAAAGCCCUACAGUU